CCCCAACUACCAAGAUGCAAUAGAAAGGGCUUUAGCCCUAAGAGCCGGAUACCCAGGAGGUCCGAAAGGAGCCAGUCAUUAUGUUCAAGUAUCCACGUCAACUUCGUUUUUGUCGCACAGAAGCUAUGAUUCAGCUCUCAAAGCCUUACGCCUGGCUGUUCUUUCUUGCACUCCCCCACCAAUCCUUUCCCCUCUGCUGUGAACAUAUAUGGAAACUCUGAGGAUAAAAGACAGAAUACUAGUCUGGGCACCAGGAGACCUUUAUUGCAUUCCUAACUGAACUAAUUUGUUGUGUGACUGGGCAUUCUUUUUUUCUCCUAGGGCCUCUUUCCGUAUUCAAGUGGAAGCUUUUAGUAACAAUUCUUUGGACGCUUACGGUGUGCUUUCACGGUAACUACUUGCCUAAUUCUCAAACUCAAGUACUAUUUGUUAUUCCUAUUUUACAGCUGAGUACCGUAAGGCAAAGAUUAGAUAACUUGUCCGAGGUCACAUCGCUAUUGAGUGGUUAGAGCAGGAAGUGUGGCACCAGCACCCAUCUUAACUACUGGACUACCCUGCCAGAAGAAAUAAUCAUCAUUGCACGUUUUCCCUGAGGAUGAGUCAAGAUGACUUGUGAAAGAAUUGAUCUCAACUGAAGCGAGUGGUCUGUGAACUCUGUGACCUUAAUGGGCUCAAAUGGCUGUGAAAUGGUGCUGAUGAACAUGUCAGGAUCUUUUAGAGAAAUUCUAGAAAGUGCAAACUACACAGAAUGCAGAUCAGUAGUUGCUGGCGGUUGGGCAAGGAGAACUUCCUAAGGGGCAUGCAGAAACUUCUAGAUGGUAUGUCCACCAACUUGACUGUGGUGAUGGUUUCAUGGGUACAUAUAUGUCAAAACUUACCAAAUUGUACAUUUUAAAUAUGUGCCAUUUACUGUAUUUCAUUUGCAUUUCAAAAAAACUUUUAAAAAACAUCUUUAUAGCAGGAGCAGGCUGUUGCCAUUCUUAAUUCCAUUGUUAGGCCACAAGUUCAAACACCCUCUCCUCAUUCACUUCCAAAAAAUCCGGUCUAGCAUCAUUCCAAAGAAGACGAUUUAGAACUUUGCAACAGGUUUUUAUUUUUGCUUUAUAUCUAUUACAGUGUUUGAAACCUAAAGAAAUACAUUUUCUCUUCAAAUUUG